rnacentral:rRNA from 1 species
UGGGGAAUAUUGCGCAAUGGGGGAAACCCUGACGCAGCGACGCCGCGUGGGUGAUGAAGGCCUUCGGGUCGUAAAGCCCUGUCGUAGGGAAAGAAUCGGUUGCAGGCUAAUAUCCUGCAGCCCUGACGGUACCCUACAAGAAAGCACCGGCUAACUCCGUGCCAGCAGCCGCGGUAAUACGGAGGGUGCAAGCGUUGUUCGGAAUUACUGGGUUUAAAGGGUGCGUAGGCGGCUGUAUAAGUCAGUGGUGAAAGGCUGUGGCUUAACCAUGGGAUUGCCAUUGAUACUGUACGGCUUGAAUUAGGAUGAGGUUGGCGGAAUGUGACAUGUAGCGGUGAAAUGCGUAGAUAUCAAGAGGAACACCUGAGGUGAAGACGGGUUGCUGGGCUGACACUGACGCUGAGGCGCGAAAGCUAGGGGAGCAAACAGGAUUAGAUACCUUGUAGUCCCUGAGCGGGCUGGCAAGGCGCAU